CGAAAAUGCUCAAAUUUGCGUUUUGGCCAGAGCACAUGGGAGAGGGAAGAUUUUGUCUAAAAAAAUCAUGUAUUUUGGCCUUAACUGUAAAGCUACAAGAGUGAUUCAUUCUUUUUGGCAAUCUAGAAAUGGUAUUCUCGAUUUAAGGAUUUAAAAGUGAGUAAUUUUAGUUGGUUUUGUGUUUAUACAAGUCGAACAGAUAGUUCAUUGUUUGCAGCCAGUAUUGAAAAUGAAAGUGAAAGAUUGCAUAUUUACAGUUUUAAAAAGUGAAAUUUAUAUGAUAUUCUACGAUUUCCUUACAUACAUUGCUUUCAUUUUAUGACCCAAAUGUUCAUAUCUUUAAAAUUUUCAUAGUUUUGUGGUUUGAACUGACACAUACCAUAUUAAAUUUGUUAAAAAGCUACAUUGCAUAUUUUGCAUUUGUUUAUUAAUCGUUUCUCAAGAUGAUGUACACCUGUGGCAUGAAUUGAUAUUAGGGUUGGGUCAAAUAUAUACUAAUGAAAAAACGAGGCUAGAAAACAAAGGGGUGGGAGUGAAAGCUGUGCUUGAAAAGUUGGUACCCAAAUAUAUAUGUUGUGCUUUAGCCUGCGUGCAGGCCCAAGGGAACUUGAUAGUGGGCCUGCAACCAUCACCCCAUAUUUUCGAUUUUCGCCGGCCAAACCGCCGGCUAAAUUCCCAUUGGCUAGCUGAGGCGAUCGGUAAUUAAUUAACCUAGCCCAUUGUGCAGGCACAAGGGAACAGUGAUUCAUCACAAAGGCAUAGACAAAGGCUCUCGAUAAGCUUAAAAUUUGAAAAUUGAUCACUUUUUUCGAUUACAAAUGGAACAAGAACAGACUGUUUAUUGUUUACUUGAAGGAAGACAUGUUUUUGCCGUUAUGCCAAUGGGGAUUGCUUAUCGUGAGGUGUUGGAAUAGCAACAUUAUGACUGGGGUAAACUAUAGUAACCUUUACUUGAGUUUCAUUAAUUUCAAACAGACUUCAGUUGAUACGUUAUGUGUUCUCACUUCCUCAAGAAAAUUAUCUUUUGGUUGAUGUUGAGAUGCAGUUGCAUGUAAGAACUGUAAGCCUAUUCGAAACACUUUGCGAUUUACAAGGCUUCGCAGAGAGAGCGAAACAGAAGGCGGUAUUAAAUUGCCGUUUGAAACGAAACGAUCUGGACUCGGAACGCUCUCUUCUUUUGUAGAGUUCUUUACCAAAUGAAAUAAAUUUCGUACUUUCCGCCGCCAACAAGAAUUGCACACACGAUCUGAUAAGUGAGACAAUUUAUUUAUAACAAUGCCAAUGGCGACAGCGAAGCACACAUAAUAUAAAUCCUAAUGUGGUCGCCCGACUUCCCUCAUGAUUUGAAGUUUGAGACUGGUUUUCUGUUGAAAUUCGUCCUAAUUUGCCUGUUCCGAUUUCAGUUGAAAAUGAGCACUUGCAAAUUUGGCAAUUACUGACUGCGUUGCUUGCUUUUUUGGAGUUAAAACGCAGCCAUUUACACAUUGUUUAUUAGUGUUAUGAAUAAGCAGAGAAAACCCCACAACAUUUUAAUGCGAGUUUGUUUGUUAAUAUUUGGGUGCUGUCAUUGGUUCUUUUUUGACAAUUGACACGCGAAUGGGGCGUGUUAUGAAAAGGGCAUAUUACAAAAUACCGGGCGAUGGUUGCAGGCCCACUAUCAAGUUCCCUUGGGCCUGCACGCAGGCUAGUUGUGCUUUGGGUCGUGAAAUGAAUGUACGUAUGCCACAAAUCUGUGCCGGAACAUGCAUCAAUUCUGCAUUUCCGUUCUAGCCUGCAUGUUGUCUGAAACAACGGAAGCGACUGCGCAACAAUGUAGCAAAACUUGCCUCAAGCUUUUCCUAGUCUUUCAGGAAAAUAAUUUAUGCAAGCAAUUAAUAUGCUAAUUAUGUGUCAGGACAUUCAUAUGUAAAUGCCAACAUCGCACAUUUACAAGGAAUGCGAGUUUGACACAGAAAGGUUUUUAGAAACAAUUACAUAGUUUGCUUUUUACUACAAGUGAAUUUUGGCUAGAUUUGUACAUCAUCCAUCUUAGUGUGAACAGAGAAUGAACUUAAUCGUCAAGGGGAGACUGUUGGGGCUCACUGGGUUAACCUUUAUUUAAAACCAAUCUUUUGUUUUGAAAGCUUGGAAUUAAAUUAAAAACAUGGUGUAACCACAAACUGUUACUUACUUGCCAUGCAAAGCUUUAAAGAAAACAAUUUUUGUUGUUUUAAAUGAUUUUGAAAUAAGUUUAAUCCCAAAAAUAUUUCAAUAUGUUGUAGGUUAUCUGUCCAUUGUGGAAGUCAGUGAAGUCACUGCAACAUUUCUUGCUUGAGUCUGUCUAAAGUGUUGUCAGAAACCAACACUUUCAUUACAUGAUUAUCCUAAACAUGGGACAAGUUAAAAGACAUAGAAGUAGAGCAACAAGAUACAAUGUAUGUAAUGAUACUCUUAUCACCACAUCAACCACUACGAUGUGAGCGUGCUUGCUUUUCUUAUCAUUUGGUAGUACUGCUUAUGUCAAGAAAAUGUUUAACCAACCAGCACUCUGGCAUAGUGAGCCUGACUAGAUUUUAAUUUCACCUUUGCAGCCACUAUGAUGUGAUCCUGCUUACCUUAUUGGUAGUAACUGCAAAUGGCUUUCCUUGUCAAUUGGCUGUACUGCUCGUGUCAAGAUGAGGUUAAUGUCCCCAACACGCUAUGUCAGCCUACAUUUGUUUCCCAAAUGACAUAAAAAACAAAUUCAUUUCAAAUUACCUUGAAUACAACACUGCACCUUCAUCUGUUACAACAAGCCUGGACAACUAUGUUGACAAUCAGCCAAAACUUUGGAUUCACAUCCUUAUCCUGGUAAACAUGGUGAAAGAUUAACUAAAUCAUGAUUAUAUUCACAAUAAUGGCAACAUUUGAUUAUCCCGCAGGGUGACCAUGCAAUGGUUAGGGCUUGACGACCCCUCGGACCCGAGUCAAGUGGCAGACUGGUGAAAGUCUGCCAUCAAGUGGCAGACUGGUUAAAGUCUGCCAUAACACUGGACAUGACAUUAACAAACUAAUCAACGACACAAUUUGGGAACUACCUGUCAUAAACCAGAAUGUUGAAGUGGUCCCAUCAACAACAAUAACAAGAACUUGAACUACAGAGUACAGUAUAAAAACAACAAAGAAUUGACAAGAUGUCAAAAUAGUAAAACAACAGCAAAUCAACAACAACAGCAAUCAGCAACAACAACACAACAGCAGCAUUGUUUAUUUUGAAAGCAAUGGAAAUGAAGCAACAAGAAAAAACAUAACAAGACAGAAACCAUAUCUACAACUGAAUCAACCACCUUGCACAAAAAGGUUGAUAGCAAUAUUUGUUUUUGACAUUUAGGCGCAGUUACUAAUUCAAUAUCAGAAACGAUAACAACUGACAAAUUUUAUAAUGUUACAUGAUGAUUCAUUGUGUAUAAUUAUAAAAUAUCAUAUUUGGCAGGCUUUGUUCAGUUGGUGACGUUUCUGAUGCUGAAUUAGUGACUGUGCCUAAUUGUCAAAAACAACUACUGUAUUGCCAUCAAUUUUUUGUGUGAGGUUGUGUAUCACAUAUAACUGAUAUGUUACGUGAAAGGCGAAGACGAGAAAUCCAAAAGCAUUAGCUAAAAACCAACUACAACUUGACAUUUACAAUGAACACCCAACAACACCAAAUUUUGCAAAGAAGAGCCAAGCUACCAACAGUGGCAGGAAAGUCUUGCUCAGAACAGGAAAACAAGAAUAACAGCAAGAAAACAAAAGAAGUACUAGGAAGAAGAGAUGGAUAGUUUUGAGAGAAAAUUUUUUUCAUGAGUAGAAAAUGAUCACAACGUGUGGGAAACGAAAGAAAACUGAUUGAAUCAACUACAGCAGAGGUGAAAACAUAAUUACGUUAACUUUGUUAUUGAAUAUCUGGAGAUUGCAUCAGCAAGUUACAAUAAACUACACAGACAAUGUUAUUGAACAGAUAAUUGCCAUACGAAGUUGAAUUGCCACCAGUUUAGCUUUCUGUAUGGCUUUUAUUCGGUUUCAGAUUCUGCUAAACAGUUCAAAUAAGAAUAAGAUCAACAACAUAUAUUGAACAUAAUCACAGACGAACAACAAUUCUAAGUAAAAAUUCGACAGUAAAAGGGUUACGGUAUUGGUCAUAGAGGAAUAGAUAUUUCUUGCUACCGAGUUUGAAACAGAAGUGAGAAAUGAUAAAUUUGCAUGAAGUAGAGACGAUGACAAACAACGAACAUUGAUGAUGAUGAUGAAAAAUGAUGAUGAUGAAGAAGAAACGCCAGGAAUAUAUUCCAAGAAGCUUUGUAGCUUCGACAUUAAAAGACGAUUGACAUCCAUUUAUUUGGAAGAACUUGAAACAUAACGCGACGUGAAAUAACAACUGCUUAUACCAGAUCCUCAGUUUGUAUUUGGAUUAUUUGUCAAAAUAUCCCAACAAAUAUGCGUUUAAAUAAGCAAUAUAAUUGGAUGGGAGUAGCUUAUAUUGUGUUUAUCAAUUUUUCGAAUGCAAUAGUUCCUUAAUCUUCUGGUUGUUAUGAAAUCGAAACUGAAAACAUCUACCUUGAAUCGCAAAUUAAAUAAUUAUAUAGUUUGGAUUGGGGGUAUGGAAAACAAAAAUUCAAAAGCUGCUGGGAUCGGGAAAAAAAUAUAUAAUUGUAAGCCUGUCUAAUCUGACAACUAUUUUUCUUUGUUUUCGAUGCUUAAACUUUGCGUGUUCACUUCAACAAUAUCAGAAGUCGGGGAAUAAAUAUGAAAGCUUGAAAUGACAAGCUAUUUAAUCGUCGAAAACAAAGACUGAACUUUGACUGAACUUUAUACUAGACGCUGUCUCUGCUAUGCAAUUUUACUUGACCAACUGUAGAGAAGGAAGAAAGUACAGUCUACAGACCUCGGCGAAAGACUGUGGAUUUUUUACAACUACAGAUGAAUUCAACUAUACAUGUAGUUGUGCAUACUAUAGAAACUUUUAACAUACUAAACUUUUACGAACAGUCAUAGUGCAUGUAACUUGCGUUAGUUAAAUUAUAGAAGUUAGAGUUUGUAGCCUCGUUGUAAAACAGUUGUGAUUUUCAAGUAAAAGAAUUAUGAAAAAUAAUGAUGCCUUUGUAUUGAUUUUUCAUUGCAUGGUAUUGAUUUUUCAUUGGUAUUGAAGACAGUAAAAUGUCGAGGUUUUUGCAUACCGUUUCUACGGCCUCGCCUGGUUAUAAUUGGCUGAUAAUUCUCUUUUUGACUUUGCCAUCAUAGUUAAUCGUCCAUGUCUUCUAACUGCGAAAACAAAAUAUUGCGGCCUGUACGCAUUCAAUCCAUCAGCAUUUGAAUGUACCGCAGGGUGACCAUUUAAUGGUUAGGGCUUGACGAACCCUCGGAGCCGAGUCAAAUGACAGACUGGUAAAGUCUGUUAAACUAACAACGGACAUGACAUUAAAAACUAUUAAACGACAAAAAUGAGCUGAAACGGUGUUCCCCGUAUGCUGAAUCCAAAAAAUUAAAUAAGGAAUUGGACUGCCAAUUGUUUUUGAAAGCAGAUAUUUGCAAGUGACCAGUUCCAUCCACAACGACGAGAACUUAAGUACAGAAUACAAACAACACCCAAGUUGGCGCAAACCACGAUGAACAGUGUAUCCUUCAAUAUGUUACAGUACGUAACAUAUGUUACAGUACGUAACAAGAAACAACAAGACAGUAACGUAAAAAGACAGUAACAACUACAAACUGAAUUGAUAAGAGAGACAAUCGCCUAUCGUAUUGCCCUUAGCCAAAAGGCAGAAAAAACCUGACAAUUAAACGAAGAACUAAUCAAAACAACCUGUGGAAAGACAAGCAACCAACCAUUGCAGGAAGAGUCCUGCUGAAAACACUAAAAGAAGAACACGAAAGUAGAAGAUCGAAGAAGGAAAAUGUAUGUGAUCAGAAAAUAAUCACAACACAGAGAGCAACAGUUGUGAGCAACAUGUAGCCAGAAAACCAAAUGAAUUAUCGCAACUGCAGCAGAGGGAAACAAGUGAACAAGAUAUUUGUAAUCGUUUGGAAAGUGCGUGAGCAAGUUACAAUAAAAUACAUAGACGGCAACGAACAGAUCAUUUGCCAUACGAUGUUGAAUCGACAGAUUUCUGUAUGGUUUUUAUCGCAGGUCAAUAUAACAUUCUAACAACAUCAAAAUAUAUGAACAGAUAUCGGACAUAAUGACAGACGAACAACAAACAGUUCCAGGUAAAAAAUGAGCAACGAAACGUUUAUUGGUAUAAUAAAUCGGAAAUUUCCUGUACCGAGUGGAACAAAAGUCAUGUGGAUAAACUUGCAUUGGUCAGAGACGAAAACGAACAACGAACAUUGUUGAUGAUGGUGGAAAUGAUGAUGGUGAAAAUGGUGAUGGUAAUACUCAAAGAAACUUUACACGAACGUAAAACUUAACGUGACAAUAACAACUGUUUACAAUUGAUUCCAGCUUGCUUUUGGAUUCCCUUGUCAAAAUUUUAACAUUUUUUUAUAUAACACGUGUCGAAACAACCGAAUUUGUUGAAUGUAACUUCGUAUAUGUUUUGUUUAUCAAUUUUCGAUUGCAAUGAUUCCUUACACUGUCAGUUUUAUCAGAUUGAAAGUCUAGCUUAGUGCCUUAGUCCACUCAAAUUAACUAAAACAAAAAUUCAAAAGCAGCUGGAAUCGAGAGAAGAAGAGGAAUGGAAGAAGAAGAAAAAAGGAAGAAAUGGACUAGUACUAUGAAGAAUAACUUUAUAGACUUGUCUAAUUAUACAACUAUUUACAUACUUCUCUUUGUUUUCGAUGUUCAAACUGGGAGUUCGUUCUCGUAUGAGUAAAUAUAAUGCAGUUUGGUUUAACUACUCACUGUGUAUAAUACUAGGCUGUUUAAUGAUCGAAAACAAAGGGAAGUUAUUUUUGACACUGACUAAACUUUUAAUACUAUAGACACUGUCUCUGCUAUGCAAGUUCACUUGGCCAAGUGUAGAGAAGGGAAAAACUACAAUCCUCGGAAAGUUUAUUUUUUACAAAGAUCACGCUGAUUUUUAUAAUGGUCAACUAGUGUAUACUAGAAAUUUCGAUCAUAACUCAUUAACAUAUUUUACGUUUACGAAAAGUCAUAGAACAUGUAACUUGCUUAGAUUGUAGAAUUUGAAGAGCUUGACGCCUCAUUGCUAUUUGCUGUAAACCAGUUGUGGUUUUCAAUAAAAUAAGAAUAAAAAAUAAUCACCCCUUUGACUUUGUAUAAUUUUUGAAGACAGAACAUUUAGUCUUCUAGUAGCAGUCUAAAGAAAAUAUUGUACAACCUUUAGUAUUUAUGACCAGUGCUAUGUCCAUGUGAUGUCUGUGAUGUAUCGGCAUUUGUGGAAGUUUGAAAAUAGUUUUGUUUAUUUUUUGUAGUGCUUUAUAUUUCCUAAAAAAGGGGAUGGUUAUCCAUUUUUUAAAGGGAAAGUUUUCCUUUCAUUUGUAAGGUUGAUUUUCAUUGAUAAGUCAAGUGGAAGGUUCAGAUGUAUUACAUUUAUGC